UACGGGGGGAGCAAGCGUUGUUCGGAUUUACUGGGCGUAAAGGGCGCGUAGGCGGUCGUGACAAGUCACUUGUGAAAUCUCCGGGCUUAACUCGGAACGGUCAAGUGAUACUGUCGGACUAGAGUACAGAAGGGGCAACUGGAAUUCUCGGUGUAGCGGUGAAAUGCGUAGAUAUCUGGAGGAACACCGGUGGCGAAGGCGGCAUCCUGGGCCACUACUGACGCUGAGAAGCGAAAGCAUGGGGAGCGAACAGG
rnacentral:rRNA from 1 species